rnacentral:rRNA from 1 species
AAGUCGAGCGCAGUCCUUCGGGACCGAGCGGCGGACGGGUUAGUAACGCGUGGGAACAUACCCUUUUCUACGGAAUAGCCUCGGGAAACUGAGAGUAAUACCGUAUAAGCCCUUCGGGGGAAAGAUUUAUCGGGAAAGGAUUGGCCCGCGUUAGAUUAGAUAGUUGGUGGGGUAAUGGCCUACCAAGUCUACGAUCUAUAGCUGGUUUUAGAGGAUGAUCAGCAACACUGGGACUGAGACACGGCCCAGACUCCUACGGGAGGCAGCAGUGGGGAAUCUUAGACAAUGGGCGCAAGCCUGAUCUAGCCAUGCCGCGUGUGUGAUGAAGGUCUUAGGAUCGUAAAGCACUUUCGCCAGGGAUGAUAAUGACAGUACCUGGUAAAGAAACCCCGGCUAACUCCGUGCCAGCAGCCGCGGUAAUACGGAGGGGGUUAGCGUUGUUCGGAAUUACUGGGCGUAAAGCGUACGUAGGCGGAUCAGAAAGUUAGGGGUGAAAUCCCGAGGCUCAACCUCGGAACUGCCUCUAAAACUCCUGGUCUUGAGUUCGAGAGAGGUGAGUGGAAUUCCAAGUGUAGAGGUGAAAUUCGUAGAUAUUUGGAGGAACACCAGUGGCGAAGGCGGCUCACUGGCUCGAUACUGACGCUGAGGUACGAAAGUGUGGGGAGCAAACAGGAUUAGAUACCCUGGUAGUCCACACCGUAAACGAUGAAUGCCAGUCGU